rnacentral:tRNA from 1 species
CGGGGCGUAGCGCAGCUUGGUUAGCGCACUUGAUUUGGGAUCAAGGGGUCGUGAGUUCGAAUCCCACCGCCCCGACCA